CCUACGGGAGGCAGCAGUAAGGAAUAUUGGUCAAUGGGCGGAAGCCUGAACCAGCCAUGCCGCGUGCAGGAAGACGGCCCUACGGGUUGUAAACUGCUUUUGCAGGGGAAUAAACCUUCGUAUGUAUACGAAGUUGAAUGUACUCUGAGAAUAAGGAUCGGCUAACUCCGUGCCAGCAGCCGCGGUAAUACGGAGGAUCCAAGCGUUAUCCGGAUUUAUUGGGUUUAAAGGGUGCGUAGGCGGCCUGUUAAGUCAGGGGUGAAAGACGGUAGCUUAACUAUCGCAGUGCCCUUGAUACUGAUGGGCUUGAAUGUACUAGAGGUAGGCGGAAUGUGACAAGUAGCGGUGAAAUGCAUAGAUAUGUCACAGAACACCAAUUGCGAAGGCAGCUUACUAUGGUAUGAUUGACGCUGAGGCACGAAAGCGUGGGGAUCAAACAGGAUUAGAUACCCUGGUAGUCCACGCCCUAAACGAUGAAUACUCGAUGUUAGCGAUAUACAGUUAGCGUCAAAGCGAAAGCGUUAAGUAUUCCACCUGGGGAGUACGCCCGCAAGGGUGAAACUCAAAUGAAUUGACCGGNGUGAGAGAGCGAGACGACGACGAGGGAGGAGG
rnacentral:rRNA from 1 species